AAAGCGAGCGCCCCCGCCCUCGGCGCUGUGGACUGAGCUUGACCCCGGCCGCGGACGGGGGCGUGGCCGUAGAGGGGGCGUGGUUGAAGGAUGGAGGCGGGUCCUGGGGCUGUCAGUCGGCGCCCGCCGCCGCCGCUGCUCGCACGCCGGGCCUCGGAAGCCACCUCAGCCGAGCGCGCAGGUGUUUAUGAAAAAAAAUGCACUAUAUCCCGACUGACCGGAAUAAUUGAAGAAGGGUGCUGGAUCCGUGGGUCAGAGAACACACAGGACCAGCUUGCUACCCCAAGGCUGAAGUCUGGUGUCUCGGAUUUGGCCCUGCGUUGCCCACUCCUGAUGCAUCUUGUCCAGUGAGGAACAAAACACCCUGCCACCUGCCUGAAGAACAGGAAGAAAAGAAGUUACAGAGGCAGAUUCCAGCGCAUCCAGAGACCGAGAUGUUGAUGCUCAGAGGGAGCUGGGAUCACCAAGACAUGUACUUCCAGAAGCCCCAGGGGACAAGAGUCACACUGACCCAAUUAGUAGAUGUGCUGACAGUGACCACAUGGCAUAGACAUCAGCACCCUGGCUGCCCAUCCAAGAUCCAUCAAAUUGAAGAUAGCACAGCAAAAUCUCACUUUGUGAAACCUGGCACAAGGACUAGAGAAGCCAGAGCAGCAGCAUAUAUCCCAAAACCACCGGAAAAAGCUGGAGAGAAUGGCAUGUUGACCUGUGGUUGGCUAUACCAAUAGUUAUUGUGAGAAGAGACCUCUUCCCCAUCAGAUCCCACCACAUCUGGACACCACUCUCCACCAUAAGCCUGGAGUCUCGCUUCAGCUGGCAACCUUCCACUCAGCCUUCCUUGUGAGGAAAUGCCCUGUUUCUCCUCCAUAUUCUGGAUUCACUCGUUACACCCAGCACCGGCCACCUUAAAUAGAAGCACCCUGAGACAUUCAUACUUCUCAGAAGCUGCCAAAGAAUGUCACCCUUGUGUCACCCUGGGUCACAUAGAACCUGGGUCCACUUCUGAUAGAUGCUGCCUGACCUGGUCAGAGAGUCGCUCCUUCCUCAGUUUUGGUACCCUUCUCCCUGCCUCUCUCAUCCCGGUUGUGACUUUGCCAGUGCCUGCUAUUUGGAUUGCAUGAAGAGGGAGAAGGUUUGGUUGGAGGAAUCGAUGCCUUGGUCUGCUGGGAGGCUGAAACCUGCUCUAACCUAGGCAGAAGGUCACCAACCCUCAUCUCAUGCCCUGCCUUGUCCCCUACCCAUGACUCAAUCGUACCUCUGUGUCUGUCCUAUCCUGGACAGUUGUACUUUAUUUUUUUUCAAUUAAACAGAAUUUGGUUACUUUUUUUUAUUAUUGCAGAGCAAUGCAUUGUUAUUACAAAGACACCAGGAAUAGAGAUAAAUAGAGGAAAAGAAAGUAGCCCCUAUGGUACCUAAUUGAAUGAUAAAUCAACCACUGCCUCAUGUGCCCUGUAGUUCUAUGAACUAUGUAGAUUUAUAUAUAAAAAUGUAAUGGUACCAUAGGUCCCUGGGAAGACUGUUUAUGCCUUCCUCAGAGGACUCCACAUGGGUGGCUCUGGCUUUCCUUGCCUUACCCACAGCAGAGAUGACCCAUGAAUAGCAGUAAAGGGAAGGAGAAUUGGGGGGUGGGGUGGGACUGUCUUUGGGGUGGUGUCUGGGGAUACCACACAUCUCUUCACUACUACCGAGAAAGCAUUAAUUGCUCCCCACUUAAGGACCAGCCACAGUUCCAAGGCUCCAGACUUCAGUCCAAGAAGAUAAAAAAGCCAGGCAGUCCACCCUCAGGAAGACCCAGAGAAGCAACAGCAGAGUUUAGAAUAUCUGUGGCCUGAGAAAAGGUUCAUUUCACCACCCUGCUAGCAUUUAACUGACAGAACAAAUAAAGAAAAAAUGUAAGACCACAAUAAGGCUCUGGGUAGAAAACUAUAACAGUUUGAAAGUCUCAGAAGAAAACUAUGGAAAUCAUGUGACCCACUGACCACACAACCUUCAGAUUGUGAUAAUUUCUGGCUCCCACCUCAUGAAGGCAUUGCCCGUGUCCCCUUGUUUUGCACCGCCAGCAAGCCGCAUGGUCUUCUAGGACUUCUGAAAUCUGUUCCACACAACCCCCACGUGGGAGUGAGCAUGAUAAAAGGUGACUACAGGAGCAUUGCCUGUCACGUCCAUCUUCCAUGAAGGGAGCAGGGAAACGUGGAAGUGACUUGCUGCCAGCUGCAUUCUUGCUCGACUGUUCCAGCCAAUGUUUACCAUUACAUCGUAGAGCCCAGACUGAGUAAUGGAAGAAAAUGGACUUAGUAAAGGAAUGAGGGGAGGGGUAAGUUUGUAAAGUAAAAUGCUCCAGCUUAGCCAGGUACUAACGAGCCAAAGGAGUUUCCCAGGAGAGAGCAGAGCAUUCUGGGAGAGGAUCAGCAGGUGUACAGGUGUCACAGGCAUAGACCAUAUGUGUGAGAGAGUACACAUGUGUGGGUGGGGUGUGUGUGUGUGUGUAAAAACCCGUGUCUGUGAGAGAGGGAGAAUUAAGCCAGAUUUCAAAAGAUGAUGGCCAGUGGUUAGAGUCUGACUUUGUUCUGUAGGGAAGAGUGAGUCACAGGGACACCAUCAGGGGAACAUCGAUCAGGUUCGAGGUUUCAGCUUAUUGUGACAGUGAUGUUUCAGCCACGAGGGUGGUGAGGAAUUAGAAUGAAGAGAUUGUGUUAAUGGGAACAAGGGGAACAUGAGGUGGAUGGGGAUCAGGCAGAGAGCAAAGCUGCACAUUCAACCUGUAGAUUUGUAGGAACGAGAAACAGGGCCACUGAGGGCUUGGGAGUGAGGAUGUGACCCAUAGACUCCAUGAUGAAAGGCUGUGUAGGUUUUCCUGGGUGCAGGUUGGGGAAUAUUUUGCUCUUGCUCUUAGGGGAAGGAAAAGAGGGACCUCAUUUCUCCUACUUACUUCUAUGCACUUGAUUCACUACCCACUUGUUAUGCCUGUGGAGGCCAGAAGAGGGCAUCGGAUCCCAUUAUAGAUGGUUGUGAACUAUAGUGUGGAUGCUGGAAAUUGAACCCGGGUCCUCUGGAGAAGCAGCCAGUGUUGUUAAUCACUGAGCCAUCUCACCGACUGUCUUAAGGUUUUAUUGCUAUAAAGAGAUACCAUGACCAUGGCAACUCUUAACAAGGAAAACAUUUACUUGGGGCUGGUUUAUAGUUUCAGAGGUUUAGUCCAUUAUCAUCACGGUCGGAAACAUGCCAAUGUGUAGGCAGACGUGGACCUGGAAAUGAAGCUGAGAGUUCUGUCUUGGUUCUCAGGCAGCAGAAGCAGACUGUGCACACUGGCCACACUUCACCUUCUUACAUCUCAAAGCUCACUCCUACAGUGACUGACUUCUUCCAACAAAGCCACACCUACUCCAACAAGGCCACACCUCCUAAUAGUGCUGCUCUCUACGGGCCAGGCAUUCAAACACUUGAAUCUAUGGGAACCAUUUCUAUUCAAGCAGCCACAUCGACCCAGAUCUUUUGCCUCAUGUCUUGGUUUGUGGAUUUCAGAAGAGGAGCUCCGAGAGGUUAUGCAGUGCACCCACGGACAGCUAGGAUGGACUCAGACGAUGAGGAUAUUUGCUGAGUAGCAGUCUUCACUCUACUAAUCAGGUGAUGAGGGUGAUGUAUGUGGCCCUGUCUGCUGCCGAGCCAGGUGCUGAUGAGCUGCUUUCCCUGUGCUUGCAAAGGUGCUCCCCUCGGGCUCUGAGAGCGUUAGAACUUGGAAUGACUGGGAGGACAUGGUGGUGUGGGCCCCAUCUGGUCCCAGGUGAGCUGCUGACUACAUUGUGACAUUAGAAACUCUGAGCUUCCUCUCUCUAGAGUUUCUCUUCCAUGAAGCUGAGGCUUCAGUCUGAAUCAAUCUUCUCCUAAAAGCCUGUGUCUUCUACUUUCCCAGCCAUGUUUCAUGGACCUGUUGCCUAUAUCAGCAUUUAAACAAAUCCCCCUUAAAUAUAUUUGUUUGUUUGUUUAUAUGUGCAUGAGUGUUUGUUUAUAUGUGCAUAUAUGUUUGUGCACCCAUUGUCUGGUAUCCGCAGAGAGCACCAGGUUCCCCAGCACUGGAGUUCCAGAUAGUUGUGAGGAGAUGAACCUAGGUCCUCUGCAAGGACAGCAAAUGCUCAUGACUCCAAGCCACCUCUUUAGCCCCUGUAUUUCAGCUUUUAAAAUCUUUCCCUUGACCUAAGACUUGAGGUUUAUAAUGGCAUGAAUUUUCCUUUAUGUUGCACUAAAAUGAAUUCAGUUGAUUAACAAGAAGCUGGAUUUCUCUUCCUAACACUGUAGGUAACAAAUGCUGGGCUCACGGUUUUUGCACCCAUGAAAUCAUUUCAUGAUACUAAUAUUUUUAGGAAGCUGGUAUUUUAUUUUCUUCGUUUUAUAGAGGUAGAAACUAAGGUACAGAGAACUUAAGCAAUAUUCCCGAAGACCACACAACUAGAUCCACCUAAAAUAGUUGAGCUCUACCUGAGGACCAGGAUUCUCUGACUAAUUCAGCCAGCUCAGGCAUGGCUCUGUGUGACUACAAGGGGAACCAAGCAGGAAGGUUUUUAUGUCCCCCAAGGCAAUGGUCUCUAGGAGUAGGAGAUGGGAGUGUGAGGGUCAUACUGGUCCACAGGGUGUCUUGAAGGACAGGCACCUGGGAAGUAGGGGGAUCCAAGUUUUUCUCAGUGUUUCCAGAACUGAGAAGUACCAGAAAGGGAGGCAGGCUUAUUGAGGCUGUGGCUCAGCCCGUGGUCGGUUGGGCAUCCUAUAGGCUGAGAAGCAGAAGAAAGAAGUGGGCUGCCUUUACCCUCCUGGCCACCAGCAAGUUCACAGACAGUGCACAGACAAUGCCCAGAUGGUCAGAGGGCCAGCAAGAUGGUUCGGUGGGUAAAGAAACUUGCCGCCAAGCCUGAGUUCAAUUCCCCAGGAACCACAUAGUGGAAGAAGAGGACAUGUCCCAGAGAAUUAUCCUUUGACCUCCAUAUGUGAACUGUGGCAUGCAUGCUCACACACACACACACACACACACACACACACACACACACAGCAUAAAUAAAUGAAUGAAGAAAAAGGUCUAUUAGUGUAACAGAGUUGCCAGAAUUUGUUCAACAACACCACUUGUUGGAUGUUUAUGUUGUUUCUAGUGUCUUGCUGUUACAGAAAAUGCCAUGGAGAACCCUUAAGUGUGUAUGGUGGACCCAGGGGGCUAUUAAGUUAUGCCAACCAAUAGGUUUUCUUGCUUAGAACAUGUGAGAUUUGGAGAUGGUGACUGCCCCAGUCCUCACCACCUCAGUGGGCUCAGGGGCUUCUGGGAAUGAUCGGAUGAUUGGCAGAGACGAUUGGUUCUAUAUCUGCACAGCUUUGGGGACUUGACCUCACUGAGGCAGCAAAAGGCUCAGCGCACCUGAAGCACAGUAGAGUUGAACAGGAAGCCAGAGUUCUAGCAUACAGUGGAACUACGAGGUAGGCUAGCAGGAGCCAUCUCUCUAGGGAACAGCCUGCAGGUGGUAAGCACCCAGGAGAAGAGAGCACAGUAGGCAUUUUUUGCACACUAUACACACUAUCAACAUUCACACUUGGACCAGGAAAGAAAGUGCUGCCAGUCCCAUGGGGCUGCCGCACUGUGGUCCUUGAUGUGACCAUACCCUUAUCAAACAGUCCCUUUUCAGGCAGAGCUUGGCUCUCUACAAACCAGAAGGGGUGCGGAAGGAGGGAUGCUCCAGGUGCCAAGGGUAGGAUGUGCAGGAAGGAAAGAGUGGGUUUGGGAAGGAGCAGAGACCGUGAGAGCCGGGCCAACCGAGGAUGUGAAUAUUGUCUACAGAGCUCUGUAGCCUUCUUGGAGGAUUGCUGUCAAUAAAUCACAAUGUUGUUCAAA
ensembl:lncRNA